CCUACGGGGGGCUGCAGUGGGGAAUAUUGGACAAUGGGGGGAACCCUGAUCCAGCCAUGCCGCGUGUGUGAAGAAGGCCCUCGGGUUGUAAAGCACUUUCAGUGAGGAAGAACGCCUGGUGGUUAAUACCCAUCAGGAAAGACAUCACUCACAGAAGAAGCACCGGCUAACUCCGUGCCAGCAGCCGCGGUAAUACGGAGGGUGCGAGCGUUAAUCGGAAUUACUGGGCGUAAAGCGCGCGUAGGUGGCUUGAUAAGCCGGUUGUGAAAGCCCCGGGCUCAACCUGGGAACGGCAUCCGGAACUGUCAAGCUAGAGUGCAGGAGAGGAAGGUAGAAUUCCCGGUGUAGCGGUGAAAUGCGUAGAGAUCGGGAGGAAUACCAGUGGCGAAGGCGGCCUUCUGGACUGACACUGACACUGAGGUGCGAAAGCGUGGGUAGCAAACAGGAUUAGAUACCCGUGUAGUC
rnacentral:rRNA from 1 species